AAAUAGAACUUUGCAGAGAGAGUCAACAGGGCGUGAAACCGUUAAUUGGCAAACGAAUCGGAGCCACGAAGUCGUUUCGUUGAUCAGUUGUGCCGAGUUCAGUUUGAUUCAAGAGAAUUGAGCGUAUUCUCGUGUGCAACCAAAAAUCACUGUAAGCGUACACUGCAACCGGUUAGACAAUUGGCAAUGGGCCCAGCAAGUGUUGGCUGCAAAGCCUUCAUGAGCGAAGCAUUUGUUUGUGUGCGUAGGUAGUGGCGUGGGUUUGCUUCGGCUUUCCUGUGUUGCUGGACGUAUGCAAGUGAACUAUUACCAAAUACUGACUGGCAAAUUGAAAAUCGCUCCGGCGUUAUACACAAUGCGGCAGCAGAGAGCAGCGUCUACACGUUUGACCGUAGAGUUUAAGCUCAGCAUUUUUGAAUUUGGACUUGCUCGCUACCAGUGGGGCAACUCCUGGCGCUUGUAUAGCUUUCAUCUAAUCGGGUGUUGACUUGGCUUUGCGUCGUUUAGGCGUGCAUCGUUUGGGUGUUGCUUUUAUGUUGUUCGCCACUUGAAUUGGCAGUGAGUAGGUCGGCUUUCCGAACGACCCGUCUUGAAACACGGACCAAGGAGUCUAAUUAGGCAUCGAGUCGAUCGGUCUUGAUAGGCCAGAUAGGAGAACUCGUUUUCCAACUGAAGGCGUAGAGAAAUCAAAUCAUGUGAUCGUUGGGCUAAUACACAAGCCUGACGCGCAACAUGUGCCUGUUCGUAUAGCAAUGUGCGUUAAAACACUUGCUGGGCGGAGCAAAGAGAUGCCUGAUUGGUACCCGAAAGAUGGUGAACUAUGCUUGGGCAAAUUGAAGCCAGAGGAAACUCUGGUGGAGGAUUGUAGCGAUUCUGACGUGCAAAUCGAUCGUCAGACCUGAGUAUAGGGGCGAAAGACUAAUCGAACCAUC
rnacentral:rRNA from 1 species